GAAAGAAAGAUUAAUACCGGAUGGCAUACGAAUAUCGCAUGAUAUUUUUAUUAAAGAAUUUCGGUUAUCGAUGGGGAUGCGUUCCAUUAGUUUGUUGGCGGGGUAACGGCCCACCAAGACAACGAUGGAUAGGGGUCCUGAGAGGAAGGUCCCCCACAUUGGAACUGAGACACGGUCCAAACUCCUACGGGAGGCAGCAGUGAGGAAUAUUGGUCAAUGGGCGAGAGCCUGAACCAGCCAAGUAGCGUGAAGGAUGAAGGCUCUAUGGGUCGUAAACUUCUUUUAUAUGGGAAUAAAGUUUUCCACGUGUGGAAUUUUGUAUGUACCAUAUGAAUAAGGAUCGGCUAACUCCGUGCCAGCAGCCGCGGUAAUACGGAGGAUCCGAGCGUUAUCCGGAUUUAUUGGGUUUAAAGGGAGCGUAGGUGGAUUGUUAAGUCAGUUGUGAAAGUUUGCGGCUCAACCGUAAAAUUGCAGUUGAAACUGGCAGUCUUGAGUACAGUAGAGGUGGGCGGAAUUCGUGGUGUAGCGGUGAAAUGCUUAGAUAUCACGAAGAACUCCGAUUGCGAAGGCAGCUCACUAGACUGUUACUGACACUGAUGCUCGAAAGUGUGGGUAUCAAACAGGAUUAGAUACCCUGGUAGUCCACACAGUAAACGAUGAAUACUCGCUGUCUGCGAUAUACAGUAAGCG
rnacentral:rRNA from 1 species